AUGAACAGCUCCUCAAUAUUCUGGCAGAUUUCAGUGGCAAGAUUUUUGUACAAUUACAGUAGCAGAUUUCGGAAAUUUGUAGAGCACAUGAUUUACAAGAACAAGAUAUUCUGUCAAGGUGUGUACUUUUUACCCAUUGCACUAAUCUUUUGCUUUGAGCGAUUGGCUAAAAGAAAGUACUUCCUUUGGAAUAAUCUUUCGUGCACUCACAAGUAUAAUAUCUCCAUUUCGUUAUUUUUUGUUCUUCCGUCAGUAGUAUUUCUUUUAGAUACUAUUUGCCCUUGGAUAAAUCACUCAUGCUAUUUUAAUGAGGUUCAUUCUAGCCGUUUGCUCACGAGAACAGAAACAUUUUAUCUGUUGGUUAAAUGA
rnacentral:rRNA from 1 species